rnacentral:rRNA from 1 species
UACGGGGGGGGGCAAGCGUUGUUCGGAAUUACUGGGCGUAAAGGGCGCGCAGGCGGUCCUUCAAGUCAGAUGUGAAAGCCCCGGGCUCAACCCUGGGAACUGCAUUUGAGACUGGAGGACUUGAGGACGGGAGAGGAGAGUGGAAUUCCCAGUGUAGAGGUGAAAUUCGUAGAUAUUGGGAAGAACACCGAUGGCGAAGGCAGCUCUCUGGACCGUUACUGACGCUGAGGCGCGAAAGCGUGGGGAGCAACAGGAUUAAGAAACCC